UACGUAGGGUGCAAGCGUUGUCCGGAAUUAUUGGGCGUAAAGAGCUUGUAGGCGGUUUGUCGCGUCUGCUGUGAAAUUUCGGGGCUCAACCCCGAACUUGCAGUGGGUACGGGCAGACUAGAGUGUGGUAGGGGAGACUGGAAUUCCUGGUGUAGCGGUGAAAUGCGCAGAGAUCAGGAGGAACACCGAUGGCGAAGGCAGGUCUCUGGGCCAUAACUGACGCUGAGAAGCGAAAGCAUGGGGAGCGAACAGG
rnacentral:rRNA from 1 species